ensembl:lncRNA
GAAAGGGUUCCAAAAGGGUUCUUAGGCUGUAACCAUUGGAGAACCCGUUUUGGUUCGAGGUAGAACCUUUUGGGUUCCAGGUAGAACCCCUUGGGUUCCAUGUAGGACUCUCUGUGGAAAGGGUUCUACAUGGAAUCCAAAAGGAUUCUACCUGGAACCAAAAAGGAUUCUUCAAUGGGUUCUGCUAUGGGGACAGUCAAAUGACCCUUUUAGAUUCUAGAUUGCACCUUUUUUUCUAAGACUGUAGUGGUGGUGGUAACUAAUAAUAAUUCAAUUACCCUCAUUAGUGAACGUUCUAGAACAAGUGGAUUCCAACCCACAUAAUACACACAUGUCACUUUUACUCUUCACCCAAACACGGCAAACUUUGACCUCUAAGCCUCUCUGACCAUUGACCCUUCUCUGCCAUGAAACCUGUCUUGAAUUCCACUGAGGGGUUGACUAAGCCUGUAUCCUCCCCUUAGAAGGUAGAGUACCACAGACCUACACUCAGGUCUGUAGCACUGGCUGUCUGAUGGGUGUCUGAUUAAUGUUGGUGAAUCUGCAGCCACCCCUAUAUUCCUCCCCCAGCCCUCAUCCUACACCACCAUACUUCAAGAGGAUAUGUUUACAAACAGUGGGGUAGAGAUACACCAUGUUUAAAAGCAGGUGCCUGGUUAUCUCUGCCUUCAUAUAGCUUCAAAGAGACCCAAAAGGGGCUCAGAGGUGGGACUGUGCCUUAGAUGGUUGGACACAUCACGGGCCUUGGUAUUGCCAAUAAGGAGGAGGGUGCAUAGCACAGUACACCAUACGCAGCUGUAUUAUCUGAGGUGCAUAUUCUGAAAACAAAUUCAAACGUAAAACUGUUAAACACAGAAUACCAGUGGGAAGGAAUUAUACCUUCAUGGUUAAAUUAGCCAUUUCAAAAGCACUAAUGUAAGCUUCCUGCACUGUCAUGUCCCUUUUUUUAUUUUAUGUUUUACCAUUGCACACUUCUUUCCAAUCUCCCCCCCAAAAAGAAUGGGGCUUUGAGUAUUUUUUUCUCCAAAAAAAAGCAUUCCUGUGAAGAUUAAAAUGGAAGGUCCCAGGUGGCGGGUCCCCUGAACCAGCCCUCUAACAGCCUGAGUGACUCCUCAACAGACCCUCUACUACUUUGGCAUCAGCUGCUGAGCGGCAGUAGUAGUGGUAGUGGUAGUGGUAGUGGUAGAGGUAGUGGUAGUGGUAGUGGUAGUGGUAGAGGUAGUGGUAGUGGUAGAGGUAGUGGUAGUGGUAGAGGUAGUGGUAGUGGUAGAGGUCGUGGUAGUGGUGGAGGUAGUGGUAGUGGUAGUGGUAGAGGUAGUGGCAGAGGCAGUGGUAGCGGUAGAGGCAGUGGUAGUGGUAGUGGUAGUGGUAGAGGCAGUGGUAGUUGUAGUGGUAGAGGUAGUGAUAGUGGUAGUGAUAGUAGUAGUGAUAGUGGUAGUGGUAGUGGUAGUGGUAGUGAUUGUGGUAGUGGUAGUAGUGGUAGUGGUAGUGGUAGAGGUAGUGGUAGUGGUAGUGAUUGUGGUAGUGGUAGUGGUAGUAGUGAUAGUGGUAGUGGUAGUGGUAGUGGUAGUAGCUGUACACAUAGCAGGCAGGCUAGGUGCUCUCUGGCUCUGUAGGCUUCGAUCUCUCUACAGGUUACUCAGACUGAUAAUGCAGAGCCUCAGCUGCUCCUGGCCAGAAAGAGAUGCCAUUUACACAGCCAUUUUCUCUGUCUCAGUGUACACACACACAGUGUACACACACACACACACACACACACACACACACACACACACACACACACACACACACACACACACACACACACACACACACACACACCGAGGUGUCAUGCCCAUAGGGGGUAUCAUGCCCGCUCAGAUGUAUCCUGUUUAAAAUAUAUUUAUUAAAAAUAUAUAUACAGUACCAGUCAAUAGUUUGGACACACCUACUCAUUCAAGGGUUUUUCUUUAUUUAAAAAAAACUGUUUAAUAAUAGAAAACAUCAUAACUAUGAAAUAAUACAUAUGGAAUCAUGUGGUAACCAAAAAAAGUGUUAAACAAAUCAAAAUAUAUUUUAUAUUUUAUAUUCUUCAAUGUAGCCACCCUUUGCCUUGAUGACAGCUUUGCACACUCUUGGCAUUCUCUCAACCACCUUCACCAGGAAUGCGUUUACUUUUCCUUCACUCUGUGGUCCAACUCAUCCCAAACCAUGUCAAUUGGGUUGAGGUCAGGUGAUUGUGGAGGCCAGGUCAUCUGCAACACGCCAUCCCUCUCCUUCUUGGUCAAAUAACCCUUACACAGCCUAGAGGUGUGUUGGAUCAUUGUCCUGUUGAAAAACAAAUGAUAGUCCCACUAAGAGCAAAACAGAUGGGAUGGCGUAUCGCUGCAGAAUGCUGGGUAGCAAUGCUGGUUAAGUGUGCCUUGAAUUCUAAAUAAAUCACAGACAGUGUCACCAGCAAACCACCCACAUGCCAUCACACCUCCUCCUCCAUGCUUCACGGUGGGAACCACACAUGCAGAGAUAAUCCGUUCACCUACUCUGCGUCUCAGAAAGACACGCAGUUGGAACCAAAAUUCUCCAAUUUGUACUCAACAGACCAAAUGACAGAUUUCCAUUGCUCAUGUUUCUUGGCCCAGCAAGUCUCUUCUUCUUAUUGGUGUCCUUUAGUAGUGUUUUCUUUGCAGCAAUUCAACCAUUAAGGCCUGAUUCACUCAGUCUCCUCUGAACAGUUGAUGUUGAUGUCUGUUACUUGAACUCUGUCAAGCAUUUAUUUGGGCUGCAAUUUCUGAGUCUGGUAACUCUAAUGAACUUACCUUCUGCAGCAGAGGUAACUCUGGGUCUUCCUUUUCUGUGGCGGUCCUCAUGAGAGCCAGUUCCAUAAUAGCGCUGGAUGGUUUUUGCGACUGCAUUUGAAGAAACUCUUAAUUAAAGCUCUUGAAACUUUUGACUGGUACUGUGUAUAUAUUUUUUGUUAUUGUUGUUUCUCUGCAAUACUACUAGCCACCUAGACAUUUUAUGAAGAUGGCUUUAACUAGCCCAGAUAGUUAUGAGG